rnacentral:rRNA from 1 species
CUAAACACUUGAAUACCCGCCCCCACCUAAAAACAACGACCCAUCUACCAACCAAACAACUUUAUUAGUAAAGGCGAUUAAAACUAAAACACAUAAAAUAGUACCGUAAGGGAACCAUGAAAAAGAGAUGAAAAAGUCCUAAAGAACUAAAAAGAAAUGGCUAGCCCGUGUACCUUUUGCAUUAUGGUUUAGCAAACAAAAAGGUAGCACAACCUUUACCCGAAACCAAACGAGCUAUUCUCCUUCAGAGGCCAAAAAUUGGCGCUCUUAGCCCCAUUACUGUUGCAAUAGUAAAGGCAGAAAGAAGAAUAGAGGUGAAAUGCCAACCGCGCUUGGUAAUAGCUGGUUAUAGUCGAAACAAGUAGAAGCUUUACAUACCAAAACUUUAAGGUAUUGUUAGGGUUUUAAGGAUAAGCUUAAACCCCAAGACAGAAACAACUGAUACCCCAAAUAAGGUCAAUAACUAAAUUUUGAAAUUAACCGUAGGCCUAAAAGCAGCCACCAAAACAAAUGCGUUAUAGCUUGUAAUUUCCUUUAUUAAAAAUAAUUGCUUUAUACACCAAAUUUCCCUUAGACUAUUAUUUUCUAUUGAAAAAAGACUCUGCUAAAACUAGUACUUAUCUCCAACCCCUGUUUAUUCAACCCCUAACCACGAAAAGAGAAUAAUUAAACAAAAAACAUUCCUAAAAACAAAAUUCCCAACCGUUGAACCACCACAGGAGGAGAACCAACCCAAAAAUAAAGAGAAGGAACUCGGCAAAUUGGGCCCCGCCUGUUUACCAAAAACAUCGCCCCCCGCCAAAACCCCAUAUGGGGGGUACAGCCUGCCCAGUGAAUAACUUUUAACGGCCGCGGUAUCUUGACCGUGCAAAGGUAGCACAAUCACUAGCCCCCUAAAUAGGGGCCUGUAUGAAUGGCAUCACGAGGGUCCAACUGUCUCCUCUUUAAUUACUGAAACUUCUCUAGCUGUGCAAAAGCAGCUAUUAAAGCGCUAGACGAGAAGACCCUAUCGAGCUUAAGGGGCCCAAGAAUAGUUUAGUGUUAAUUCCACUAAUAAAAUAUACUAUUUUAAUUAAGAAAUUAACGAUACCUAUUUUCUUCCAACCCCUUUGGUUGGGGCAACCUCGGAGAACAAACAUCCUCCGAACUAACUAAUUUUUAAAGACAUUACGUCUUAAACAUUAACCAAAAAAUAAAAGAUCCGAUUAUUUCUUAUCGAACAAUAAACAAAGUUACCGUAGGGAUAACAGCGUAAUCCCUCCUAAGAGCCCGCAUUGCCGGAGGGGUUUGCGACCUCGAUGUUGGAUCGGGGAACCCCGAUGGUGCAGCCGCUAUCAACGGUUGGUCUGUUCGACCAUUAAAACCCCACGUGAUCUGAGUUCAGACCGGCGAGAGCCAGGUCGGCUUCUAUCUACGCAUUACGCCCCCCUAAGUACGAAAGGACAAGGGUGGCCAGGCCAAUGGGAAACCCACGCCUGAUAAAACUAAACCCUGCUAAGGUGGCAGAG